AGGGUUGGGCUCUCGCCGUGAGUCGACGAAGGGAGCGCGGGCGCGCGCCCGCGUCCGCGCACUGAGAGUCGCCUCGGCCGCUCGCUUUCUCGACUCCCGCCUCGCGCCUCGAUCCUGUUCCGCCUCCCUCGGCCCUCCUGCCCGCCCCCACUCGUCGGCCCUCAGGUUCCUGGAAAGUGAAAAUUUCAUUUCUUUGUGGACAGGUACCUAAAAUGUCUCAUUAUUCAUCAAUUAAUGAAAAACAAAUGAAAAUUUGAGAGAGAUAUUCUGAAGAAUAAAAGGAUCAAGUUGGGUCAUUUCUAAAAUCUCAGAGACCUAAUAGGAUGGGGUCUUAGAGAAACAUCUUUUGAGCCACAGACUUCUUUGUUACCAGAAGGAAAAUGAAAGAAGAAAUUUAAAUACCACUUGAAGAGAGUUUCCUCAUCAGCAAAGUCAGAAAAAGUAUGUACCUGAAGGACUGAUUGUAAGGCUGGGAUGAGAGAAUCCAUGUGAUCAGCCCUCACCAACAGGUGCUGCCCAGUUCAUGAGUGCUGCUGCUGUCCUGCCCAAGUACCCAGCUUGCAGAGUGCCAGAGUUAGAGUCCCAGGGGUGUUCUCCACAGCUGCAUGCUUGAUCCAGGCCUAUCAGAUAUAUUCCAUUGAAAGUCCUCAUUCUCAAAUUUAAAACAAAGACUUUUUGUGUACCUCAAUAGCAAUGCACACACAGUUGGCUUCACAAACAUAUUGUACAUUUCUUUUUUUCAUAUUUAUUCAACAAAUGUAUAUUGACUACCCACCGUGUGACAGGUGUUAUUUGUUGACGGAACCAGGCAUCAUCAGCAAACAAAACUGACAAAGCUUCCUGCCCUCUGUGGAAGGCAUCUGAGGAAGAGACUGGAUUUUGUAGCAACAUGUUAUUCUCAUUAUAAACUUUAUCAUUGGAAUACUAAAGCCAAAUCAUCCCCCAUCUCCUUGAUCAGGAUACCCACUUAAUCUAGGCAGCUACACAAUUGUGAGAGCCUUUGUUUUUUUCUGCUGAAACAUCCUUAAAAAGAUACCUCACAACCCAAGAUUUGGCUUUUCUUAAAUACGAUUUUUAAUUUUUUUCAUUUCUAUCUAGAGAUUUAAUUGGAAAUGGAAAAUCAUCAAUUUUCCAAUUAAAUGUCUGUUCCAAUCAACAUUAUACCUUUUAGGUUGUCAUUGUCAUUUUUAAGUUUAAGCAACUUUAAGGAUUUUGAAUCUGGCUGCCUGUAAAUUAAAGGUGAAAGUAAUCA
rnacentral:lncRNA from 1 species